GUUUCUGUAGCGCAAUAUACAGCGCGUUGGACUUCUAAUCCAAAAAUCGUGGGUUCAAAUUCCACCUGGGAUG